rnacentral:rRNA from 1 species
CAGCCGCCGCGGUAAGACAGAGGAUGCAAGCGUUAUCCGGAAUGAUUGGGCAUAAAGUGUCUGUAGGUGGCUUUUCAAGUCCGCCGUCAAAUCCCAGGGCUCAACCGUGGACAGGCGGUGGAAACUACCAAGCUGGAGUAUGGUAGGGACAGAGGGAAUUUCCGGUGGAGCGGUGAAAUGCGUUGAGAUUGGAAAGAACACCAACGGUGAAAGCACUCUGCUGGGCCGACACUGACACUGAGAGACGAGAGCUAGGGGAGCAAAUGGGAUUAGAUACCCCCGUAGUCCCUGUCUCUUAUAC